rnacentral:lncRNA from 1 species
GGUUAUUAAGUGCAAAAAUCAAACUUUCUAGAACAUGGCGUUGUCGCAUAUCAAAUGAAAGCUCAUCUACCCUGUGUUACAUAUAUCAUACUUCCGAUCUCAAAAAUGUAGGCGGAUGAGGUCAUUAAGUGUAAAAAGCGAAAAGUUUCAGAAGGUAUGCUUGUCGUAUAUCAACGAACAAGGUCAUANNNNNNNNNNNNNNNNNNNNNNNNNGGUUGGUGACCUAAAGUUGUUAAAGGUUCUACCAAAUAAAGCUAAGGUUAUCUGAUAAAUUUAUACUUUUAAUGAUUUUUUUUCUCCUAAAUUUGUUUUCACAUUAAAUUUAACAUUAUGAGCUAUAAAUACCUUUUAUAGGACAUGGUUGACUCUGCCUUUCAGUGUACUGUAUCUUGCUGUUCUAGUAAGAGGCAAUUAACAUAGAAUCUAUAUUUGCAGCAAAAACUAAAAUACAAUGUGAUAAAAAAAUAUCUAAUGAUAAAAAAUUAUGAAUUGCUAUACAUGAUGGAAUUAUUGCAAUGUAUAAGUUAUGGGUCGUCGCAAAAAUAAUCACACAGUCACAUGUGCAUUUUGAAAGCUUUCAUUAUUUGUAAUGCAGCAAUUUAUUAAAGAUCAUUAUCUGAUUGCAUUUGUGUUAAUUUAUUGCACAAUUUUAAUAACUCCCAGAUGUCGAGAUGUUUAUCAUAUAUUUCAUGUAUUUCGAAGCACUAUUUGGAUGCUUCUAUCAUACUUUUUUCAUAUUCUUAAGAGAUUUGUCUGGAGAAUUGACAUACAUAAUACUUUAUCUAAGAGUUUGACAAAUCUCCUUUUAAUACAAAUAACAUGAACAUGCAUGCAGUUUUACAUUUAAUUCUUUUUUUUAGUCGAUUAUUUUUCUGGUAAAUGGGAGAUAAUCCAGUUAGAACUAUGUUCAAUCCCCUAUAAUAUCUGCAUUAUAUUUGAACAUGAUGAAUGUGCAGGUUUUAAAUAAAAAAAUGAAGUGGAAGGUUGAGGUGCACAAGAGGGGCCAUGUUAAUUUGUUGCUUAUUUAAACUGGUAACAUGUAUUUAUUUUAAAUAAAUAAAAAGACAAUUUCUUAUCUCUGAUUACAACUAAAAUCUGCAUUUUAACUUUUUAUGUAAAUGUACAGUGCUUAUUGAUAGUCCCUGUCUAUUGAAUUUUAAGGUUGACCAACCCAACCACAUCUAGGGUUUGUCAGACAUGCUUUGUAUUGAUGGAGGUCCUGAGUUUGAUCCCCAGCUGCCAGGUUAAAACUAAUUUAGACUUGAAAUAUGGUAUUACUAUUAAUGCUUUUUCUCUGCACAGCCUGCUGUAUUCAGAGUAGGAGCAGAACAUUUAAUAUAACAAAUAUCAAUUCUAUUUCUUUAAGAAGACGAAAAAAGUGUUGAAAACUGAUAAUUUAAAUGAAUUUUCUAAGUCCAAGGAUCAUUACUCUGCACACAAUCCAGACAGAAAACAAUUUAAACUUGAUCUGUAACUUGUCAUGAUAAAACUACAUACCAAUUUUCAAAUCAAUAUCUUCAAGCAUGACGAAAAAAGUGUGGAAACCUGAUUAUUUGAGUGAAUUUUUUAAGUCAAAGGACCAUAAACGCUGCACAAAAUCAUCAGACUGGAACAAAAUUCGUACUUGAUCUGUACAUGUAACUUGUCAUGAUAAAACAAUACACCAAAUAUCAAAUGAAUAUCUUCAAGCAUGAUGCAAAAAGUGUGGAAAACUGAUUUGCUGGACUGACGGAUGGAGAGACAGACUUAGUCACAUACAACUGAAUACUUUUUAUAGCUGCUAAGUCACAUGUAACUGAUAUUUUAAGUAAUGCUUUAAAUCAGCUGCUGCAGAGUUUCCUAAUUUUUUACUUGAGAAAAUUAUAUCAUACAAUUGUCUAUUUAUUGCUCAUAGCCAAAUGUCUCUUAUUGGGGAUUAUUUGGGUGUCAUGACAAUUUGACCAUUAUAGUCAAAUUUCGUUUGUUAAAUUAUUAAAUAAUGUAAUUUUUUCAAGUGGGUUGUCAAAGUACAUUACGAAAACAUCACUUUACAGGAAGACCUUUCAAUUGUUUUUACAAACAAUUGAGAUACUAGUUCUAAUGUUUUUUCUUUUUUUUCUUUUUUUUCUUCCAACAUUUUUUUUGGCAUGGCCUCCUACCGUUUCAGUUGAAGUUAUCAAGACCAAAUAUGGACCAUCGAUAGACCUCAUCAUGAAACUUUUACCAGAUGAACUUUUUGUAGGAUUUCAUCAUCCCCUUUAAGAAGUUAUCUCCCUUUUAUUGAUUUUUUUUCAACAUGGCCCCCCUCGUUGUUUUUAAAAGAUAUCAUGACCUUAUUUGGACAAUAGGUAGAUCUCAUCAUGAUGUAUUACCAUAUGAGGCUGAAUAGGAUUUCAUCAUCCCCUUUGAGAGUUAUAUCCCCUUGAAAGCAAUUUCUUUUAUUUGCAUUUUUCUCAAAAAGUAUUAGAGAUAGAAUCGAUUUGAAAACGGCACAACAUGUACAAGAACAGAGGACAAUGUUAAUAAACAUAAACAAUUAUUUUUGUUUUAACCCUUAUAAGGAGAGUUAUUUCCCUUGAAAAAUUAUAAAAAUUUUAGAAAAAUUUAUUUCGAGAACCGGAAGUCAUAGAGACUUGGGAACCUUCACCAAUAAUCUUAAAUUUCAUGUGACCUUUAAUAUGCACCCAAGGUCAAAGGUCACCGAGUGCAAAAAAAAUUUACGCUGCAAUUUCAAGCUUACAUAUUAGGAAAACGAUAAGACUUUGCUGCAUACAUACAGCGUAUAAAAUGUUCCUCUCGACGAGCUCUACAUUUUAUAUUAUAAGCCCAAAAAUGUCCGACCGUCUGUUCAAAAGUUACAACGGGAUGAUUCUUAAAAGUAUAGUAUUUUGUGUAUAUCUUUUAAAUGUAACAGAUAUCAACCUACUAUAAAAGUGCAAAGAUGAUCAGUAAUUCAAGACCUUCAAUUUGAGGUCAAUGUCAGGUCAUGAUGAAAUUUCACCUUGACCUUCACAUAUACUAAUGACCUUGACCUUGUGAUAUUUGAAAGGUCAAAGUGGUCCUGAGUUGAAUGGUGCUAGUCCCAUGUCUCUACGACUUCCGGUUCUUAAGUUUAGGUAUUGCAUCAUAUAUUUGAUGAUUAAUUGUGACCUUGGUGAACUUUGAAAUUGUCCCAAUUCUUUUUCUAUAAUGUUGUCCUUCAACUGUAGAUCAUUUAUCAUUUAACAGAUUUGAGAUAUCUAUUGUCGUUUUAGAGAUAAUGCAGUUUGAAGUUUUGCGAGCGGAGGCAUGUAUUUCUGAAUCAACAAGAGCUUACCACUUAAAAUGUUUUAGAAAUUGAAGAGGUUAACAUAGUUAUAUGUUUGACCCAAAUACCAAAAACAUUCCAUGGAAAAAAACGCCAAAAAUUCAAUUUGAAAUUUUCAAGUUUUGCAUUGACUUUGUAAGUUUCAUAACUUCUAUUUAUAUAGUUGAUAUUGCAUCAUUAUUUGCACUUUGUCAAAUGGGGUCAUCUGAUAUAUCAAAUUGAAGGUCUUAAUAAACUCUACUUAAAAAAUGAAAAUUUUAAACCCCCUUUUUCAUCCCAGGGGGACGGGUGGGGUCAUUUAGUGCAAACAUUCAAAUUUCUCUCAGAUGGUAAGGUUGUCGCAUAUCAAAUGAAAGAACAUAAAGCGUACAUUUCAAAUUUCAAAUUGACGUCUCCCAAAAAUGGGUUGGAUGGGGUCAUUGAGUGCAAAAAAUAAAUUUUCUUUUAAGAUAGGGUUGUUGUAUAUCAAAUGAAAGGUCAUGAUGUGUACAUUUGAAAUAUCAAAUUCCCGACCUCCAAAAAUUAGUUGGAUAGGGUUAUUAAGUGCAAAAAUCAAACUUUCUAGAACAUGGCGUUGUCGCAUAUCAAAUGAAAGCUCAUCUACUCUGUGUUACAUAUAUCAUAAUUCCGAUCUCAAAAAUGUAGGCGGAUGAGGUCAUUAAGUGUUAAAAAGCGAAAAGUUUCAGAAGGUAUGCUUGUCGUAUAUCAAACGAAAGGUCGUACAAAGUACAUUACGAAAACAUCACUUUUACAGGAAAGACCUUUCAAUUGUUUUACAAACAAUUGAGAUACUAGUUUAAGGUCUUCCUCUCCGCGAGGAAAGACCUUAUUGUUUUUCUUUUUUUUUUUUUUUUUUUUUUUUUUUUUUUUUUUUUUUUUCAUCCAGCAUUUGUUUAACAUGGCCUCCCCUUGUUUCUAUUGGAGUUAUCAAGACCAAAUAUGGACCAUCGGUAGACCUCAUCAUGAAGUAUUACCAGAUGAGGCUGUGUAGGAUUUCAUCAUCCCCUUUAGAAGUUAUCUCCCUUUUAUUGGUUUUUUUUCGACAUGGCCCCCCCUCGUUGUUUUUGAAGAUAUCAUGACCUUAUUUGGACAAUAGUUAGAUCUCAUCAUGAUGUGUUACCAUAUGAGGCUGCUAAGGAUUUCAUCAUUCCCUAUGAGAGUUAUGUCCCCUUGAAAGCAAUUUCUUUUCUUUGCAUUUUUCUCAAAAAGUAUUCAAGAUAGAAUCGAUUUGAAAACGGCAACAUGUACA